AAUAGAUACCCGGGUAGUCCACGCCCUAAACGAUGUCAACUAGCUGUUGGGGCCUUCGGGCCUUGGUAGCGCAGCUAACGCGUGAAGUUGACCGCCUGGGGAGUACGGUCGCAAGAUUAAAACUCAAAGGAAUUGACGGGGACCCGCACGAAAGCGGUGGAUGAUGUGGAUUAAUUCGAUGCAACGCGAAAAACCUUACCUACCCUUGACAUGUCUGGAAUGCCGAAGAGAUUUGGUAGUGCUCGCAAGAGAACCGGAACACAGGUGCUGCAUGGCUGUCGUCAGCUCGUGUCGUGAGAUGUUGGGUUAAGUCCCGCAACGAGCGCAACCCUUGUCAUUAGUUGCUACGAAAGGGCACUCUAAUGAGACUGCCGGUGACAAACCGGAGGAAGGUGGGGAUGACGUCGAAGUCCUCAUGGCCCCUUAUGGGUAGGGCUUCACACGUCAUACAAUGGUCGGGACAGAGGGUCGCCAACCCGCGAGGGGGAGCCAAUCCCAGAAACCCGAUCGUAGUCCGGAUCGCAGUCUGCAA
rnacentral:rRNA from 1 species